GACGGAGGAUGCAAGUGUUAUCCGGAAUCACUGGGCGUAAAGCGUCUGUAGGUGGUUUAAAAAGUCCACUGUUAAAGAUUGAAGCUUAACUUCAAAAAUGCCGUGGAAACUUUUAAACUUGAGUAUGAUAGGGGUAGGGGGAAUUUCCAGUGGAGCGGUGAAAUGCGUAGAUAUUGGAAAGACCACCAAUGGCGAAGGCACUCUACUGGGCCAUUACUGACACUGAGAGACGAAAGCUAGGGGAGCAAAUGGG
rnacentral:rRNA from 1 species